ensembl:lncRNA
AAGGCAUGGGGUGCUUUGCACCUCCAGGGCUCCCCUGAACAGUCCCCAUAAUGCCUCCAGAUGCUACUAGUCUGGAAACCAAUCAAUCUUCCCUUUAACUAGUUAGCACACCUUCCCUGGGGUUCUUUAUCAAGGCACACACAUCCUCAGUACUGAAAGAUGCAUGGAUAUGGCUUCAGAAAAUGAGGCUCUCUGAAUAUUUUCUUAUGAAGGCUUUCAUAUACAUACAGAGUUAAGAAGAGGUGGGGAGGGGCUACAGGUACAUACAGCUUUUUACCUGAUAGCCAUGGCUGUCAAAUUUGGUCUCCGCUCUGCAUGACGCAAUAAUUAAUGCUUUUCUCACAGUAGCGGAAAAAGGACUUUCUUUAAUAUUAUGCCAAGUGACCCUCUAGGGCAAAGGCUCCACUUCAUAGCUAGGAUUCAUGAAAGUGUUUACUAUGAUGCCAUUCAGAUUGUAGGCAGCCCACAUGCUAGUCAGGCCAAAUUUUUGUCUAGUUUCACUGCUCCAGUGAAAGCAGUGUGGCUGUUUAUUGCGGAGACCAGAUUGCUUCUCAACUCCGGUCAGGCUUUUUCAGCUCAGCAGGCAGCCCCUGCUGUGACAUUUCUUUGGUUUGGUGAAGAACUGGAAUUAUACAUGGGGUAUGUGUUAUCAACUAGAAAUUACUCCACAUAGCAUUUUCAUGGUUUUGUCCCAACUCUUUUUUUUUAAAUAGUACAUGAAUUUCAUUCACAUGACUUGAAUUAUUUUAGGCAUGAAUAAUAACUGUGGUAAAACUUGAUCAGAG